CUUGAAAAAAACAUGGAUGGUGGAUGACUAAGGAUAAAAAGGUGGUGCUCCCAGCCACUGUAGCAGACACAUUGCUGCGAGAACUACCUGAGUCCACCCACCUCGGCAAAAAAAAAAGGAUGAUGGCUGCCCUGCAACCUUAUUUUGUCAGCCAGAGAUUAGCCCAAAAGGCCCAGGACACGGUGAGACGAUGCCCCACCUGCCUCAAGGUUUGAUUCCAAGACCCUGAAACCUCCUUAGAAGGGACCGGUUCCUAUUGUCCUGUCAACUCCCUUGAUGGUAAAGGUGGCUGGACAUUCUGCCUGGAUACAUCACAACCAUCUAAAAGCAGGACCCCUCACAGACAUCAAGAAAGACAAAUGGAAGGUUAUCAGCCAACCAGGUGACCAAAAGCUAAGACUGGAACGGGUUGAAGAUGUUUCACCUUAAUGAUGAUAUUCUCUGGGACACUGACAUUAUUGCCCCCAAGAGGACUAGGUCACACAAAAAAUGUAUAGAUUCAAUUGGCAAACUCGCUUAACUUGUCUAAAUUCUGCUUAAAUGCUGAUGUAAAUUUCCAUCAUGUGCUAAGAAGCUGUCUCCUUCCGGUAUGCACCUCUUUAGAGUUAAUAUGACCCUAUACCCUAUUUUAAGACAUCCCAGGGAAAAAUCUUACUUACACAGAUAGUUAUAAUUGGGGACAUGACACCUGCUGUAAACCUAAAAAUGCAGUCAAAUUAUAUACAGCCAAGGUAAUUAUGUCAAACAAAACUGAAUGUGCUAUGUAUGAAAAUUGUACAACCAAGUGUCUGAGGAUAAAACAGUCAAAAGGGAUGUCCUGCCACAUAAAAC